rnacentral:rRNA from 1 species
UGGGGAAUAUUGCACAAUGGACGGAAGUCUGAUGCAGCGACGCCGCGUGGGGGAUGAAGGCUUUCGGGUUGUAAACUCCUUUCAGUACAGAAGAAGCUUUAUUGUGACGGUAUGUGCAGAAGAAGCGCCGGCUAACUACGUGCCAGCAGCCGCGGUAAUACGUAGGGCGCGAGCGUUGUCCGGAAUUAUUGGGCGUAAAGAGCUCGUAGGCGGUUUGUCGCGUCUGCUGUGAAAGACCGGGGCUUAACUCCGGGGCUGCAGUGGGUACGGGCAGGCUGGAGUGCGGUAGGGGUAACCGGAAUUCCUGGUGUAGCGAUGGAAUGCGCAGAUAUCAGGAGGAACACCGAUGGCGAAGGCAGGUUACUGGGCCGUUACUGACGCUGAGGAGCGAAAGCAUGGGGAGCGAACAGG